ACGAAUUUCAGAAACAAAGAAGCGAGAACAGGUUGUGUUAGUUUCCUAGACUAGUCACUCAAUAAACACCGAUAGUGUUUUGUUAUGCAACCUCUCUGCAUAUUAAUUCAACUAAAUCAUCUGUUUAGAGUUAUUAUCGCCAUCGUAACACGUACAAAUUCUGGUAAUAGUACAAUAGCUCGAUCAUUCUGAUAUUUUAUUCAUGCCAAGGUUUGAAAGUUACUUAACAGUGUUUAAUUCUCUUUCAUAAUAAUACCAAGCUAUUAUGACAGCACAUAGACAUUUUAAUGAACUACUGUACGAAAGUACAGUGAACCUUCUAUUUAGAUGGUUUGUUACAAAGCUUUUAAUGUAAGGUGAAUAUCGUACAAAUGAAAUUAUAUAAAUACAAUAUAAGCAUGGAAAAAGAAAAGUCAAUCCUGGAUCAAGUUGCAGGCUUUAAAAAAUGUUGACUAAAAUGUCUGACCUAGCUUGAUUUGCGAUUCCCUUCAGGACUGAUCUUUCGUUUUAUCCUUAACAUGUUUCGUAUGUAAUUUCAAAAGUUAAUCAAAGCGAAAUUGAUCUACAUGUAUCUUUUUAUGAAAAAAUAAAUUAAAGAAACUAACCACUUCCACAAUG